CAGCCAUAUAUCUGUUUCCAGUGGACCUUUAUUGGGAAAAGUUGUCUUCCAGCUGAGGAGCUCCGCACCUAUACAAGAUUCUACAAUGGCGAGGGUCUCUAUAAAAACUGAGGGCGUGCUGCAGCGAUGUCCUAAGCAGGUUGUGGACCAAGGCCAAUGGCUACUUAAUUUGUACUUGAAGCUGCCUAUGUUGCGUCGACUGAUGCACAUCAACGGAGUCGCUAGAGCUGUUUCAGGUGUCGCCGAAUAUCUUGCACAUGUAGAACGCCGGACUCUUAUACCCUACGUUUUGCCACAAGCCGAGUCGUAUCCGAUUUCCCCCCGCCAGACGGAGUCCUAUCCAAACAUUACCGAGGCGUAUUCGAGACAGACCGAGUCCCAUCCCAGCCAGACUGAAUUGUGUUCCAGCAGGACAGAAGCGCACCCCUUACCCGAUUUGAACCCGGCCAUUUGACGCGAGUUUUUUUUGUACGGUGGCGCCCCAAUCGGCCCGUGCGACGGCUUCCUGUGAUCGGAAAAAUAUCCCUGAUUUGCUGGAGUCCUUAUCAAGGACCAAGGAACAAGGAAAUGUACUCCAGGCGUAUAAAUAUUGUUCUUGCCGUUAUUUUAGGCUCGAUCGGGACCUGCCAGGAACCCACGUGCUCAGAUAAAUAUCCUUGAUCCUUCGGUAAGGACAUCAACCGCCCCAACCAUACAUAUUUAUUUUUCCCGGCUUUUUGUGGCCCGAUCGGGACAUGCGUCAUCUUACUGUGUUUGGAACAGCACCCUUGAUCUAAUGCAGUCCGUAUCAAGGACCAAGGAUCAAGGAUAUUGUCCCCAGACCUAUAUAUCUUGUUUUCUCCUUUAUUUGUGGCCUGAUCGGGGAGUGCCACGGCUUCCCGUGAUCAGAUAUAUGUCCUUGAUUCUUUGAUAAGGACCUCAGCCAUACAUAUUUAGAUCUCGGCUAUUUGUGGACCGAUCUGGGCGUGCGAUGGCUUCCUGUGAUCGGAAAAGUG
rnacentral:misc_RNA from 1 species